UGAUGCUACGUUCCAUUUGAAUAUCGCAUUAAAAUCUUGCAGAAAGCUUUUACAACGUCCAGUUCUCAGGCAGCCGUAUCAAAUUAAGUUAGCUUCUUUGGAAGAUAACCGGACAUCAGCAAAUACAAUGUAGAGAUUGCAACAUAGGAUCCUAUCUCCUGCUCUUACAGCAGCCCUUGUUCCUGUCUUCUUUUCUCUUUUGGGAGUGAGUAUUUCCUUCUCCUGCCUGAACACAGAGUUGACAAAGAAGCAAGGAAGAGGCAAGAGAAUGAAGAGAGCAAUUAAAAAUGGUUAACUGAGGGCGAAGAACCUCCCUCAACAUGGACAACACCAUUCAUGCACAACCCAGAUCCAAGAGGGAAAAGGGAAGAGCAAAGCAGCCUCAUCCCCCAUCACUUUUCCUCCUCACAGAUGGAAUUCCUUAGGAGCAGAGAGCUUUCCAGCAACAAGAGAAAUAAUCCAUGAGACAGAGCAGUUUUCUAAUAAGUGCUUGCUGGAUAAAUGGUGCAAAGGAUGAAAGUAAAGAAAUUGAGGACCUUUUUUUUUUCUGGGUUGGCC